AUGUCUGAACUUAGAGAUCCAUCAAGUAAUUAUGGCCAAUUCAAAAAGUUGUUUUUACCCAAACGGCUGCAGCGCACUCACUGCAAAAUCCCAUGGACAUCGACUUCGCGAGGAGAGGAGCAAAUUCUUGGCAAGGAAAGAAGAAUGUCAGCCAUGUCUGCUCGUGCUACAGCUACUGCUCGGCCUCCGUCCUGCCGCUCCAUCAGCAGCAACGGCUGCCCACAGGAAGAGGAGGCGCGGACGUGGGAGGAAAAGCUUGCGGAUCCCAUGGGGAGGCGACAGCCGCGACGUUCAUUGAGGCGGCGCCGGAGCUCGUCGGGUGGUUGGGAUCCGGGGACGGCGGGGCUGGUGGAUGAGAGGCGCGGCGGCGGAUCCCGAGGCAGGGGCGGCGCGGCGGCCGCUCCCGGAGCGGGGAGGGGAGUGGAGGCCACGAACGGGGCCUGUCCUCAGCUAUAG
rnacentral:rRNA from 1 species